rnacentral:rRNA from 1 species
UACGUAGGGUGCGAGCGUUAAUCGGAAUUACUGGGCGUAAAGGGUGCGCAGGCGGUUAUGAAAGACAGGCGUGAAAUCCCCGGGCUUAACCUGGGAACUGCGUUUGUGACUACAUGACUAGAGUCAGGCAGAGGGGGGUGGAAUUCCACGUGUAGCAGUGAAAUGCGUAGAGAUGUGGAGGAACACCGAUGGCGAAGGCAGCCCCCUGGGCUAUGACUGACGCUCAGGCACGAAAGCGUGGGGAGCAAACAGG